rnacentral:rRNA from 1 species
UACGUAGGGGGGCAAGCGUUUGUCCGGAAUCAUUGGGCGUAAAGCGCGUGUAGGCGGCUCGGUAAGUCUGCUGUGAAAGUCCAGGGCUCAACCCUGGGAUGCCGGUGGAUACUGUCGAGCUCGAGUCCGGAAGAGGCGAGUGGAAUUCCUGGUGUAGCGGUGAAAUGCGCAGAUAUCAGGAGGAACACCAAUGGCGAAGGCAGCUCGCUGGGACGUGACUGACGCUGAGACGCGAAAGCGUGGGGGAGCAAACAGG